CUGGAAGUUUGUAUUGUUAGGGGCGUGGCCUCUUUGACACAGGCGGCUGUAGCUGCUAGCUGUCUGCUAGGCUAGCAAAAUGCUAACAACCGGUCCAAGAAGUCUGAGCUCCAGUUGGUGAUUGAAACUGAAAAAACAACAUUUCGGCACCCAAAAAUGAAGCUUUAAGUUUUACAUAUAAAUUAAGUUCCUGAGCUCCUCUGCUUCUUUCAAUCGCUGAGCUGCUUCACGUCAUAAAUAAUGGACGAUCCGUUGCCGCUGUGCCGCAGAGAGAAAGCAGCUCCGCGGAGUUAAAUGAUCUGAGGCGGGAUGAAAAGCACACAAUGAGCAAGAGGGAGGGUUAAAUGGCCUCCCGAGCGUUUGCCGGUGGGUCGGGAACUUUGAAGCGUCUCCUCACAAACUCACCUUAAACUACUGUCCUGCGGCAGCGGCCCCUGACCCGGCCCCGCGCUCCCGACAUGAUUGCCUUUGUUCUGCGCAGAAUAUUUAAAUGGGGCUCUAAAGCAGCGAGGAGCGUGCGGGUCGUAACGAGCUGCUGCUGCAAAAGCUGCAAGCAGCGCGGGGUCACAGCUCGCCGCUUAACAAAGAACAGCGGUGCCACAAUGAGCCACGCCGCACAUUCACUGCAAUUUAGCUUGAGUAAUAGAUGGGGGUCACGCCGGGUCACUUUCAAUUUCCACUUCCAGCAGGGAAAAAUGAAAACAACUCAUUUGCACAUAUCUGAAUAAUUCAGUCACUGAGAAGCGGGAGAGAUGAAAAUAGGAGGAAGAAGAAAGAGACAGUGUUGCACGUGGCGCGGUAAUGAUGGCCGGCCUCGUCGCCGUCGCCGAGCAUAAAGGCUAAUGAUGAAUCCGACAGAGGAUAUGAAUCCAGAUGUAAGAAUAAAGCGGCCUCGCUCGGGAGGCUGCGCUGCCUCUGCUCAGCUUUUAAACUUAUCAUAAAUGUAUUAAGAUUGCAGCGGGCCAUGAAACAGCUGUAGACAAUUAAUCUUGUGCAAAUCUUAUCCGAGGAAUUGGUUUCUGCAGAGUAACAUCUGCUACGAGGGGCGAUUAUUCAUGGGUGCCGCCGCCGCCGUGCUUCUUUAUGCAUGGGGCACAAUCAUUGCCAAUGAAGUAAAAAUUUAUAGUUUUCCCUGUUCAGUAAAAAUAACAUUCAGCAGCAUUAAAACAUCAUCCAUCAACAUUGUCCGGGGGCCCGGGGCCAUCCCAGGCAGCCAAAUUAAAAAGUAUUCAUUUUGCAGAGAAGUUGCAGAGCGUGCCGGCUGAUUUUUUUUCCCCCGCUCUGCAUCGCUGCUGCUGCUCGGAGGGAGAUUGGAGACGUGGUGGGGUUGCCUUUUUUUCUGGUUGGUGGAAGAGGGAGAGAUGAACCUCGUUCCCCCGGAGACGUGAUCAGGAAGUGCGAGCCGUGAUGGAUGACAGUCGGUGUGGACGUGCCAAAUAUGAAGUUGGAAUAAAAAUGGAGCAGCGUGAUUUUCUUUGAAGGUUGUUUCUGUGAGAAGU
ensembl:lncRNA